rnacentral:rRNA from 1 species
UACGGGGGGAGCAAGCGUUGUUCGGAUUUACUGGGCGUAAAGGGCGCGUAGGCGGCCAGCACAAGUCAGUUGUGAAAUCUCCGAGCUUAACUCGGAACGGUCAACUGAUACUGUGCGGCUAGAGUGCAGAAGGGGCAACUGGAAUUCUUGGUGUAGCGGUGAAAUGCGUAGAUAUCAAGAGGAACACCUGCGGCGAAGGCGGGUUGCUGGGCUGAUACUGACGCUGAGGCGCGAAAGCCAGGGGAGCGAACGGG